rnacentral:tRNA from 1 species
UGGCUCAGUGGUAGAGCACUUGCCUUGCAUGCCAGAGGCCCUGAGUUCGAUUCCUUAG